AACGUUGUUGCAGUUAAAAAGCUCGUAGUUGAAUUGAAGUGAACUUGGGUUGAUGUAAUCUUCGGAUGACAUGAAUCAAAGUUGACUCUUUCCAAAGUCAAUACAUUGGUAUUCAUUUAUCUUUGUAUUGUGUUUGGUCAUUUACUGUGAGAAAAUUAGAGUGUUCAAAGCAGACGUUUGUUUGAAUACAUUAGCAUGGAAUAAUCAUAUAUGGCUUUCAUGUUGAUUUGAUUGGUUUGAAUAUGGAAGCAAGAUUAAAAGGGACAGUUGGGGGUAUUCAUAUUCAAUAGUCAGAGGUGAAAUUCUGGCAUUUAUGGAAG
rnacentral:rRNA from 1 species